UCCACUAAAUGAGUGAAAUAAGUUUGUAAUAUAAAUUUACAAACCAAUGUGUGAUAAUUUGUUGUUCUGCUCUGUUUGUAUGGAACUACACAAAUGGAAAAAUUUUGAAGAUCUGCAAAUGGUUCAAGAGUGAUGUACUCUUGAUCCAAAGUAUCUGUCCCUUCACUGGACACCAGUUUCUCUGAAUUAUUCAUGGACGGCCUGGCUGUAGGGAGAAAGUGAAUAGAUGUGGACAGCUGAAAAAAUGGAAAUUAAGUGAAGAGAGACGACAUGUCACCUCCUGCUGUCUCUGCUCAGACUGACAGGCGGCGGCUAACGACCUGGCAGCGUUUUCACUCCCUCUACUUUGGAAUCCGAGUGCUCACACACCGGAGUGUGUUGACGUGUGUCGGGACGGUGGAGGGACGGUUUCCGUCCUGCUGAGCCCCAGGUCCUUCCUGCUAGACUAGUAAUUAGGACAGGACAUGUUGACCAGGAUCACCUUCAGCUGGGACCGCUGACAGAACAAGGACAGACGAAAUUAUACACCUGGAUGCUUCAUGGGUUUUUCUCUCUCUGUUGGUUGACGACCUAAGACCUAAAGUUGUUGUUUGACCCAUUUAAAGGACUAAAUUAAUGUCACCUUGUGCCACAGCUGACCAUCGUGGAGAGUUUUCUGCACCAUCUCAGCUUUUUGUGGUUGAGAUAAAGCGCUGCUUUUAGAGAGCGCCAGAAAUAGACCAGCAAACGGUUCACAAUGUAAAGACCAGGGUCAGUGCUGCUGUCUGCUGCACAUUUCAAAUGGAUUAUAGGAAAGAUAUUUUUAGACAAAAACUGACUUUUUUAUUUUCAAAUAAUUAGCAACUUGUAACUGAAGUGGAUACAUGUAACCAUUCACUUCUAGUCUAAAUAAAGUGGAGCUGCAGUCCAUCCACAACAGAACCCAGUACCAACUAGUUACAUUUAGGAGUUUCAGGAUCUCUCUUCAUCUCUAUUUUUGCAGAUUUUUACUUUUUUAACUGAUUUAUCAGAUUCUGGAGACACAAACAUUCAUUCAUAAACCAACAUAAAGUGAAGUUCAAAGAAAAUAUCGCAGCUUUUCAAAAUGUGAAAAAGAAAUGGUAGAUAU